rnacentral:rRNA from 1 species
AUUGAACGCUGGCGGCAGGCCUAACACAUGCAAGUCGAGCGGAUGAAGGGAGCUUGCCCCUGGAUUCAGCGGCGGACGGGUGAGUAAUGCCUAGGAAUCUGCCUGGUAGUGGGGGAUAACGUCCGGAAACGGGCGCUAAUACCGCACACGUCCUGAGGGAGAAAGUGGGGGAUCUUCGGACCUCACGCUAUCAGAUGAGCCUAGGUCGGAUUAGCUAGUUGGUGGGGUAAAGGCCUACCAAGGCGACGAUCCGUAACUGGUCUGAGAGGAUGAUCAGUCACACUGGAGCUGCGACACGGUCCAGACUCCUACGGGAGGCAGCAGUGGGGAAUAUUGGACAAUGGGCGAAAGCCUGAUCCAGCCAUGCCGCGUGUGUGAAGAAGGUCUUCGGAUUGUAAAGCACUUUAAGUUGGGAGGAAGGGCAGUAAGUUAAUACCUUGCUGUUUUGACGUUACCAACAGAAUAAGCACCGGCUAACUUCGUG